GCCAAGACUUGGUUAAAGGGAAUAUGUUUGGAGGGGGAGAGCAAAGGUAGAGAACAUAACUUUUGCUGAUGGUCUUUAUUCAUUAAGUGAAGACGUUAGUGAGCCUAAUAUAACUUUGAAUAGGGAGGAUUGCUCUAGCUGCCCUAAAGAAUGUUUUAAUUCCUGCUCCAUAUAGUAGUUUGGUGCUUAUAGCAUUCAUCAGUGGCUGUGGGCAGAAACAGACUGAGGUCCUGAUUGCUGCUGCUCAGACAUUAUGGAUUUUACAUGAAAUCACAUUUGGGAAAAACAUAUAAACAACCGUUGAAGCUGGAGCCGAGAACUCUCCAUUCUCCCAGAGGAGGUCCCCAACCUUCCUGCCAGAUCUGCCCUAGUUUUCAUCUUCUUUUUCCAGCCCAGUGAAGUCUGGAUUAUUUCUCUGUACACUUCAAGACUUUUCAGCUGGCAUUGUUCAAGCAUUCUGCCCUCCUGCCAAGCACCCUCGACUCUGAUGGCUAAGCAGAUUACCAAAAACACGAGAGGUGGGGAGUCAAGUCCUGUAAAGCAGAGGUGAGAACUGAACACAGAUCUUCCAGAGUUCUGCUGGCUGUUAGUGUGCUAUGUGAAAUCAUUCCCAUUAUUCUUUUAAGUGGCUUUGCCUUGAAAGAUCAGCCACUGCUAUAUUUUCUGGGGCACUGAGGAACCAGUAAGCACACUUUGUAGAUGGGUUAAGAAAACUUGCAACAUGGAGCUCCUCAGGCAACAUGGGGAGAAAGCCUUCUGUGCAAACUCCGCAUAGACUUCAGCACAAAUCAGGUGCUGGGUUUCUUGCAGUUUUCAGAGAUCCAACUUCCUGUGUGGCUUCUUGCCAUCAGCAGCUCAUUUGGAUGCCUUGGCUCAUUCAGGAGCAGCACACUAUUCUCCGCAGAAUUACUACUACAUGCAGGAUAUAGUUGUGGUGCUCCAAAGUGUACCUCAGGACUUUCCAGACAGCUGUUCUCAGGGGAAGCUGAUGUGCUCUGCAGUUCUUGCCCCAACCAGACACCUACUUGAAAUGCCCAGGUUAGGAGUCAAAAUCUUCCAAGAGCUCUGUAUAAGCACUGAUGCUUAUACAGAGAAACAGCAGAUCUAUGGGUGACUCAGCAUAGACACAGAAUGAAUUACUUCUCUCCUUGCUAAGCAGCUGGCUGCACGGUGAUGUCCCCUUGAGAUGGGAUGACUCUCAAGGAUAUUUCUUGAGGUUGAGAGACCCCUUAAUGAACUGCAGAUCUUUGCUUUUGAAAUGCCGGACAGUUGUGACACAUACUAAAGAGAUCUUUGAUCCUGUCUUUCACUUAAUCAAGAUGACACAGCAGAAAGUAGUUCUGGAGAUGUGAUCUGGAAGUCUUCAUCAUGAUGUGGGGAUUAAGACCAUACUUAUGAGGGCAUAACUUUAGACAGUUAGACAGUUCAGCUACUUCUUUCCAAUCUUUUUUUUUUUUUUUUUUUUUUUUUUAAUUUUAAACAUCUGUGAUACCACUAUAACACAUAUCAAUUUACAUAUAAUUCUGUUAAAUACUGCUCUGACACACCCUGACAAUAACAGGACUGAGGUCUGCUUUCAGCUGCCUGUACCUCCAUUAAAAAAACAUGCUAUGUCUUCUCACCCUGUCAGAACAGUUUCCUGACAGAUGGAGGAAACUGGGCAAAAUGGGCAAAAUGAUUUAUUUUGUGUUAUUCAGAAAAUUUCUGUUAGGAACUGGAUGCAUGGCCCUUGGAUCUUAGCCAAUUGUGGAAUAUUUACAGGGAGAAAGUGCUGUGAAAUCUCUCAUAUAUCUUACCAUUAACAAUAUCUCUUCAUUAUGUAGAAAAAAAAAAACAAUGAACUUUGUUAUCAAAUAUAUAGUUUAACUGUAAAAAAAAAUGAAAUGCCACUCAUAAUUGAAAUGAAAGUCAGGGUACAAUUAUAAACAGCACGAGUACAUUUUUUGUUUACUUGGGAUCUUCUGUUCUCAUGAAAUUUUGGCUAGCCUCUUAUUUCCAAAAACUAACAGGCUGGGGGCCUUCAAGAAGAAAUAACAAGCUACUGUGGUUCCAAGUUUACAUAUACUUUGUGUAAAAAAUCACAUUCUUUUAUAAGAAAUUAAGUGAUUAGGAUACUAUCUUAUAUCUUUCCCCUUAAGGGCCAGCACUGUCUUCACUUCUAGUUCUUGCUUUGUAACAUGUAAAGAGCUUUGUGAAUUCACUCCACAUUUUAAAAUGUACACCCAGAUCACAUAUGUGCCAAUCACAUAUGUUGAUACAUCUAUGCCACAUCAAAGCAUCUCCCAAUACGUCAUAUGAAGUGGGCAGAGAGUCAGACACAUUUUCAGUGCUGGAACACUUUAAAAGAACAUUAAGAAAAGAGUGUAAGCUUCUCUGUGGAGGGAAACAAGCUCCGGCAUUGGGUGGUUCAGAACAUGUAAGUUAGAUAUCAACAUGGCAUUUAGCCUAGAGAAAGAAGCUGAGGCAGCUGGGCUAACUUAUUAUGACAAAGUAAAUUAGCUGGGGGGUGGGUAGGAAUCUAAUGGUAGUCUACAACUGCUUGAAAGACAAUUGGAAAGCCAAACUAUUCCCAGGGAGGUAGAUAGUAUAGCAAGUGGUAAUAACAGCAAUUUGUUGUGUAGGGAAUUCAAGCUGGACAUUAUGAGGAAAAAAAGUCUUAAUUAAAAGAGUAGUGCAGCACUGGGACAAGUUGCCCAGACAGGCAAUGGGACCUGCAUCUUUGAAGUCUUCACAAGAAAACAAAGCCACAGAUGGUCUCACUUCCAGCAGGAUAUCCUUUUUACCCAGAGUGUCUGUCAUUCUGGGAUUUCUUUGAUUCUGUGAAUACAGAAGGAAAAUAAAUAAAGUGGCAGAAAGACAAACAGUAGUCAAUAAGCUGUCACCCCUUCACUGACAGAUAGAAAUCUUACUGAUACUAAACCUUUCAUGAACACAGAAGGCUACAAAGUGCAUACUUCAUCAUUAAGGAGAGUUUUGUGGUAAAAAGGCUUCAAAACCUGAUGCACACCUUGUAAAGACCACAAUUCUAGAAGAACUUCUGCCUGCCUUCCCAUCAUGUCCACUCUGCUGCUUCAUCUCAUGGUGAAGGUUUCUCCCCUAAAACUCUGCUAACUGGGAGGGUCACUGCAUUUGCAAAGACCUCAUUCUAAACCUAAGCCUAAACCUUCCUUCCUCUUCUCAGGAACAAAAGUAACCCCACAGGGAAGGAAGAAGUGCUCACUUCUGCUGUGUCCAGUCCUUGCAAUCAAUUCAUAAAGAAAGCAGGACAGCAGAAGUAUAUCUUAUUUGCAGUUUGCAUUAUUUUCUGUUU